rnacentral:misc_RNA from 1 species
GGAAAUGCCAAGGGAUGCGAAGGGUAUUUGGGGCUUGGAAGUUGAGGAAGAUCGCCACAAGGUGGUUCCGGCCACCGAAACGCAACCGACGCCGACGACCAAGGGAGUCUUGGAGCGCAGUGCAGUGACGUCGAACGCCGGCAUGUGAAAGGUCCGAGCCGCACACCAAGCCAUCUCUCUUCUCUCUGAUCGUCUCGGCCUUGCUGUCCUUCUCAC